rnacentral:rRNA from 1 species
GUGGGGAAUUGUUCGCAAUGGGCGAAAGCCUGACGACGCAACGCCGCGUGGGGGAUGAAGGUCUUCGGAUUGUAAACCCCUGUUGAUCGGGACGAACACCUUCCGGGUGAACAUCCUGGAGGGCUGACGGUACCGGUUGAGGAAGCCCCGGCUAACUCUGUGCCAGCAGCCGCGGUAAUACAGAGGGGGCGAGCGUUGUUCGGAAUUACUGGGCGUAAAGGGCGCGUAGGCGGCCGACUAAGUCAGACGUGAAAUCCCUAGGCUCAACCUGGGAACUGCGUCUGAGACUGGCUGGCUUGAGUUCGGGAGAGGGAAGUGGAAUUCCAGGUGUAGCGGUGAAAUGCGUAGAUAUCUGGAGGAACACCGGUGGCGAAGGCGGCUUCCUGGACCGACACUGACGCUGAGGCGCGAAAGCCAGGGUAGCAAACGGGAUUAGAUACCCGGGUAGUCC